UCCAAAUCAUUGGGUGAAAUCCCCGAAUGCGUAGAAGAUUGGCUACGUAGAAAGGCUAAGACUCCGACAUGCCCGAUAAAAGUGAAAGUGAUUCGUGGUAUGAAGCUCGGUGAAGACGGCGAAACGCCAACCUGUAAAUGGUUGACAAAUGUAGUCGGGCCGCCAUAAA
rfam:Desulfosporosinus sp. OL contig00062, whole genome shotgun sequence.